GAAAAAAAGGGAAAAUAUUCUGUUUUUAUGUUAUUAUUUUACCGUGUGAGAUCCCCACACGAAUACAUUAAUAAAUUCACCCCACCCAAUCUUGAUAAAACCCUCAGAAUUCACCGUCUUUUUCUGCUGUUACAUUUUUAUUUUGCAGCUGUAAUUGGCAAGAAGAGGUGACUGGGACUGGAACUCCUCUUCAUGAUGCUUGAAGAUUCAGACGGCGGUGCCACCGCCGUGAAGGGUACUGAAAGUGGUGAAGUUGGGCUUGGAAGCGGCGAUUUUGGGGAGGAAGAUAAUUGGGAAUUGAAGAAGGUGAUAGGAGUGGUGGCGGCGGUGGAAACCGGUGGCCGAGGCAGGAAACACUCACCCUUUUAAAAAUUCGAUCUGAUGUGGAUGUUGCUUUGAAUUAAUCUUCUCAGUAACUUUUGUGUAAGGAAUUUGGAGGUGGAGGAAGAAGACAAG
rnacentral:lncRNA from 1 species